rnacentral:rRNA from 1 species
CGAGAGGAGGUUUACUUUCUCAGCGAGUGGCGAACGGGUGAGUAACGCGUGAGGAACCUGCCUCAAAGAGGGGAACAACAGUUGGAAACGACUGCUAAUACCGCAUAAGCCCACGACCCGGCAUCGGGUAGAGGGAAAAGGAGCAAUCCGCUUUGAGAUGGCCUCGCGUCCGAUUAGCUAGUUGGUGAGGUAAUGGCCCACCAAGGCGACGAUCGGUAGCCGGACUGAGAGGUUGAACGGCCACAUUGGGACUGAGACACGGCCCAGACUCCUACGGGAGGCAGCAGUGGGGAAUAUUGCACAAUGGGGGAAACCCUGAUGCAGCGACGCCGCGUGGAGGAAGAAGGUCUUCGGAUUGUAAACUCCUGUUGUUGAGGAAGAUAAUGACGGUACUCAACAAGGAAGUGACGGCUAACUACGUGCCAGCAGCCGCGGUAAAACGUAGGUCACAAGCGUUGUCCGGAAUUACUGGGUGUAAAGGGAGCGCAGGCGGGAAGACAAGUUGGAAGUGAAAUCCAUGGGCUCAACCCAUGAACUGCUUUCAAAACUGUUUUUCUUGAGUAGUGCAGAGGUAGGCGGAAUUCCCGGUGUAGCGGUGGAAUGCGUAGAUAUCGGGAGGAACACCAGUGGCGAAGGCGGCCUACUGGGCACCAACUGACGCUGAGGCUCGAAAGUGUGGGUAGCAAACAGGAUUAGAUACCCUGGUAGUCCACACUGUAAACGAUGAUUACUAGGUGUUGGAGGAUUGACCCCUUCAGUGCCGCAGUUAACACAAUAAGUAAUCCACCUGGGGAGUACGA